rnacentral:rRNA from 1 species
AUUGAACGCUGGCGGCAGGCUUAACACAUGCAAGUCGAGCGGAGCGAGGGUGCUUGCACCUUAGCUUAGCGGCGGACGGGUGAGUAAUGCUUAGGAAUCUGCCUAUUAGUGGGGGACAACAUUCCGAAAGGGAUGCUAAUACCGCAUACGCCCUACGGGAGAAAGCAGGGGAUCUUCGGACCUUGCGCUAAUAGAUGAGCCUAAGUCGGAUUAGCUAGUUGGUGGGGUAAAGGCCUACCAAGGCGACGAUCUGUAGCGGGUCUGAGAGGAUGAUCCGCCACACUGGGACUGAGACACGGCCCAGACUCCUACGGGAGGCAGCAGUGGGGAAUAUUGGACAAUGGGGGGAACCCUGAUCCAGCCAUGCCGCGUGUGUGAAGAAGGCCUUUUGGUUGUAAAGCACUUUAAGCGAGGAGGAGGCUACUGGUAUUAAUACUACUGGAUAGUGGACGUUACUCGCAGAAUAAGCACCGGCUAACUCUGUGCCAGCAGCCGCGGUAAUACAGAGGGUGCGAGCGUUAAUCGGAUUUACUGGGCGUAAAGCGUGCGUAGGCGGCUUUUUAAGUCGGAUGUGAAAUCCCUGAGCUUAACUUAGGAAUUGCAUUCGAUACUGGGAAGCUAGAGUAUGGGAGAGGAUGGUAGAAUUCCAGGUGUAGCGGUGAAAUGCGUAGAGAUCUGGAGGAAUACCGAUGGCGAAGGCAGCCAUCUGGCCUAAUACUGACACUGAGGUGCGAAAGCAUGGGGAGCAAACAGGAUUAGAUACCCUGGUAGUCCAUGCCGUAAACGAUGUCUACUAGCCGUUGGGGGAUUUGAUCCUUUAGUGGCGCAGCUAACGCGAUAAGUAGACCGCCUGGGGAGUACGGUCGCAAGACUAAAACUCAAAUGAAUUGACGGGGGCCCGCACAAGCAGCGGAGCAUGUGGUUUAAUUCGAAGCAACGCGAAGAACCUUACCUAGACUUGACAUCUCCUGCAUUACCCUUAAUCGGGGAAGUUCCUUCGGGGACAGGAAGACAGGUGGUGCAUGGUUGUCGUCAGCUCGUGUCGUGAGAUGUUGGGUUAAGUCCCGCAACGAGCGCAACCCUUAUUGUUAGUUGCUACCAUUUAGUUGAGCACUCUAGCGAGACUGCCCGGGUUAACCGGGAGGAAGGUGGGGAUGACGUCAAAUCAUCAUGCCCCUUAUGUCUAGGGCUACACACGUGCUACAAUGGCAAGUACAAAGAGACGCAAGACCGCGAGGUGGAGCAAAACUCAAAAACUUGUCUCAGUUCGGAUUGUAGGCUGAAACUCGCCUACAUGAAGCUGGAGUUGCUAGUAAUCGCGAAUCAGCAUGUCGCGGUGAAUACGUUCCCGGGCCUUGUACACACCGCCCGUCACACCAUGAGAGUUGGCAAUACCCAACGUACGUGAUCUAACCCGCAAGGGAGGAAGCGUCCUAAGGUAGGGUCAGCGAUUGGGGUG